CCUACGGGGGGCUGCAGUGGGGAAUAUUGGACAAUGGGCGCAAGCCUGAUGCAGCCAUGCCGCGUGUGUGAAGAAGGCCUUCGGGUUGUAAAGCACUUUCAGCGGGGAGGAAGGCGUUAAGGUUAAUAACCUUGUCGAUUGACGUUACCCGCAGAAGAAGCACCGGCUAACUCCGUGCCAGCAGCCGCGGUAAUACGGAGGGUGCAAGCGUUAAUCGGAAUUACUGGGCGUAAAGCGCACGCAGGCGGUCUGUCAAGUCGGAUGUGAAAUCCCCGGGCUCAACCUGGGAACUGCAUUCGAAACUGGCAGGCUAGAGUCUUGUAGAGGGGGGUAGAAUUCCAGGUGUAGCGGUGAAAUGCGUAGAGAGCUGGAGGAAUACCGGUGGCGAAGGCGGCCCCCUGGACAAAGACUGACGCUCAGGUGCGAAAGCGUGGGGAGCAAACAGGAUUAGAUACCCCUGUAGUC
rnacentral:rRNA from 1 species